rnacentral:rRNA from 1 species
UACAGAGGGUGCGAGCGUUGUCCGGAAUCACUGGGCGUAAAGGGCGCGUAGGUGGCCCGACAAGUCAAUGGUGAAAGUUCGACGCUUAACGUCGAAUCGGCCACUGAUACUGUUGGGCUGGAGCACUGUAGAGGCUCAUGGAAUUCCGGGUGUAGCGGUGGAAUGCGUAGAGAUCCGGAAGAACACCGGUGGCGAAGGCGGUUGCCUGGAGCUUUGCUGACGCUGAUGCGCGAAAGCGUGGGGAGCGAUCCGG